AUAUUACAUCUUCAGCCGCAUUAAAAACAUGUACUGAUGUUAUUAGUCUCAUGUUGACUAUUAUAGUAUAUUAUAUUCUUUAUUCUGUAGCUCAGAGCUGAUCCUGGGUCUGUUUUAGUGAGUUCUGGUGGAGCUCCUCCUGCAUCCGGAGAAAUCCGGGAAAAACUUCCCUCAGGAGGAAGGAAGUGCUGAAUCAGAUCAACAGCGGAAAACUGGAGAACUGGAGCCCAUCAGAAACAACCUCAGAUCUGAUCUAUAAAACCAGUUUAAUAUCUAAUAAUCUGAGUACUCUGAGCUGGAUUUAUAAUAAUUACAGUUCUGAUCAGUAAAUCUGAUCUUUUUCUGUAGAUAAUAAACAGUAAAUCAGGAUUAACUGCAGACUGAACACCAUCGAUUUUACUCUUCAGAGGAGGAUCAACUUCAGACUGAACUUCAGCCUCAGGAGAUCACAGAGACAAUAACUCUGAGAAACAUUUAUAAAACUGGUGGUGUGCUCAAGCUAGUUUCCACGCUGAGAGAGAGAGAGUGAGACGGAGAGUGAGACGGAGAGUGAAGGAGAGUGAGACGGCCGCAUCUGCUCUAAACCUUUCAUGGAUCACUUAAGUUCUGUAAUCCUGAUUCUGAAACAUCACUGAACAGACCAGAGGAAGAGUCUGAAGGUUAAUCAAUAAUCUGAACUGAUCAGAUGAUUGAUAAUCUAUACUGUAUGAAGAAUUCUCAGCUCUGAUUCUCCUGCAGGUCUAACGAACAGAUAAACCAGAUCAGGAUGAUUUUUAUUCCUUCUCUUCAGCGUGAUCACAGACCGUCUGAUUCAGAGAGUUCUGUAAACAGUGUUUGGUUGUUUAUAUGCUUUCAUUUAAUACUUAUAAUCAUUUUAAUCAUAAUAAUCAUUUUAUAUGUUUAUAACAAUACAGACCCACCUAAUAGUUUACCAUUCUCUAGUGUUCACACCUCUAGAGUCCCCACCUGAGCCUUGGGUUUACCAGACAAUAGCUCUAUCUGGACGGGAUUAGUUUCUCUGUGUUCUCUUUAGUGAUAAAACUCCUGCAUCCGGACUGCAAUUGUAAAAACAGGAGGAUCAGUGAGUUUUUGGGCUUUAGUUUUUCUCGCUCACAUGACAUCAUCACAGCGUUCAGUAGCUCCUCCAUUUCCACUCACUGUUGUGUUUUUAACGUGGAUCUCCGUGGAAACCGAGGCGUCCAAAGUGUAAUUACGGUGCGCAGCAGUGGACAAAUAUCUAUUUUAUUAAAGGCGAGGAGACGAAACUCAGAGAUGUGCGUCCGGACGGGACUAAAAUUACCGGAGGAGCACGGAGUUCAGAGAAAAACAGUAGAUAAUUCAGCCUGUAAUUUUCUCAGAGGACGUCUGAGAAAAACACCUACAUGAUCGUUCUGGACAGGAAUAAAAUCACAGAGAAUAAAAUAAAACCCAUAAAAUAGAAAAUUACCCAGAAACCCUGAGAAAAUAAUCCUGUCUAGAUAGGGCUUACAAAAAUAAAAUCUUUUCACGAAUAUGGUCUUUUAUAUUUUGGAUAUAAAGUCGUAAUGUCACACAAGUGCUGGGCGGUAUGACUAAAAAUGUAUAUCAUGGUAUUUUUUUGUAAGAUUCUGACAGUUUCACGGUAUUUAUUAUUAUAAUUUAUUUAUAUAUUUCUUUGCAUUACUGGGCUUUUAUAUAGGUCUGUGACUUACUGUACAUUUAGGAGUACAUAUAAAACAUUAAGGCUUUAAAUUAAGAUGAGUUGAUUACUAUUGGAUUUAAUUUGUUCCACAAAAAAAUAACACAAUAUAUGAGAUAAUCAAACUUUAUCAGCAGAAAAACAGCUAAAGAAUGUAAACAAUAGACCUUAAAGAGAGAUAAACCAAAAACACUGCUUCCUUUUUAAAACUGUUUUAAUAAAUAGUUUAAGCCAUUAGAGGAAUUACAGCAUUAUCUAUUAAACAAUUCCCUUCUUUCACCAGUUAACAAAUAACUUACAUUCAGUUCAGUGUGCUUUAAUAUUAUCCUUCAAGCUCCAGUAUUAAUAUAUAUUUAAACAGGGCUAUAGUUACUGCUCUCCUCGUAUCAUCGAGUUUUAGGGAGUUUUAUCACUUGCUGAAUAAAUGAUUUUGUACUCAGGACGGUUUCUGAGCUCGUUUGUGGGAUAAAGUGAUGUUUUUUUAGGCAGGAUGGAGUGAGAGACGAGUGUGAUUUAGCUGCUAAUAUUAACCUACGCCAGAGUCUGUGCUUAUCCAUGCUUUUAUACUUCUACAAAAUUGCCCAACGGCUUUAUUAUUGUUCUGUCUCUGUCCUAGCCAUUAUUGUGUUGUCACCUUGUGUCUUGUGUGUAACCCCGCCCCCUUGUUUCCGGCCCCAGGUGUUCCUCAUCCUCAUCGUGUUUAUAAACUCGAGUUUAUCUCGAGUUUUUUGGUUCUUUAUAUUUCUGUAUUCUUCUGUUGGUACUUUAUGUGCUUUAGAUCGUCUGUGUUUCAUGUAUUCAUGUCUGUUGUGGGGUUUAUUUAAUCUUAGAUCCCCGUGUUGUUUCAGCUAUAGAGUCUCUUAUUUGCUCAGUUUUGUUUAGUCUCUGUUAAAGAAUUUAUCUUGGUCUUGUUUCUUAUUUAUUUGCGUUACUUGUGUUUGCUUUCUGUGUCUUUUUUUUCUGCACUUACGUCCAUUCUACUCAUCUGUGACACGUAAUAUGUUGAGAAUAAAGAAACAACCAACAA